CCUCAUCGAUUCAUCUCUGGCUCUAUCCGCAUCACUCCGAAAAACAACUCCCCAGCCAGCCAACGCUCCUGCGCUGCGCCCCUUCUGCGAUCUUCGCCCACGAUCGACUCCAUCCAUUGACUCCACAUAUAAGCAGGAUAAAGAGCUACAAAAAGUACUAAAAGUGAAAAGAGGUACAAAAGAAGCAACAAUCAAAUUCCAAAAGAUAAAUAUCAGUUUGCCUUCUCAAAUUGAAUGAGAACUACUACAAAGGGUAUGGAAUUCCAAACGAAACACCAAGGAAGAUCACAUUAUAACACCUUCAUCUGUUUGUGAUAUACCAAAAGGUAUGGAACCAUGGCAGAGACAAAGAGAGAGAGAGAGAGAGAGAGA